rnacentral:rRNA from 1 species
UAUCAAUAAGCGGAGGAAAAGAAACCAACAGGGAUUGCCUCAGUAAACGGGCGAGUGAAGCGGCAACAGCUCAAAUUUGAAAUCUGGCCCCCGGCCCGAGUUGUAAUUUGCAGAGGAUGUUUCUGGCGAGGUGCCUUCCGAGUUCCCUGGAACGGGACGCCAUAGAGGGUGAGAGCCCCGUACGGUUGGUCGCUAAGCCUCUGUGAAACUCCUUCGACGAGUCGAGUAGUUUGGGAAUGCUGCUCUAAAUGGGAGGUAUACGUCUUCUAAAGCUAAAUACCGGCUAGAGACCGAUAGCGCACAAGUAGAGUGAUCGAAAGAUGAAAAGCACUUUGAAAAGAGGGUUAAAUAGUACGUGAAAUUGUUGAAAGGGAAGCGCUUAUGACCAGACUUGGGCCGGUUGAUCAUCCAUCGUUCUCGGUGGUGCACUCUGCCGGCUCAGGCCAGCAUCAGUUUGGCUCGGGGGAUAAAGGCUUUGGGAAUGUGGCUCUCUCCGGGGAGUGUUAUAGCCCACUGCGUAAUACCCUGCGCUGGACUGAGGUACGCGCUCCGCAAGGAUGCUGGCGUAAUGGUCAUCAGCGACCCGUCUUGAAACACGGACCAAGGAGUCGUCUUCGUAUGCGAGUGUUCGGGUGUCAAACCCCUACGCGUAAUGAAAGUGAACGUAGGAGAGAGCUUCGGCGCAUCUCCGACCGAUCCUGAUGUUCUCGGAUGGAUUUGAGUAAGAGCAUACGGGGCCGGACCCGAAAGAAGGUGAACUAUGCCUGUAUAGGGUGAAGCCAGAGGAAACUCUGGUGGAGGCUCGCAGCGG